rnacentral:rRNA from 1 species
GUCUUUUUGAAUAUAAUUUAAAGUCUAAUCUGCUCAAUGAAUUUUAAAUAGCCGCAGUAUUUUGACUGUGCGAAGGUAGCAUGAUAAUUAGUUUCUUAAUUAGAAACCUGCAUGAAUGAUUGGACAAGAAAAUUUCUGUCUCUUUUCAAUAUUUUUUGAAUUUAACUUUUAAGUUAAAAGGCUUAAAUGCUUAUAAAAGACGAGAAGACCCCAUAGAGUUUAAUUUUUAAAUCAUUUUAGAAUUAUUAAUAAUUAAAAAAUUUAGUUGGGGUAACUUAAAGAUUAAAUAAAUUCUUUAAAUUUAAAAUCAUAAAUUUGUGAAUUUAAAAUCUAAUUUUUUAAAUUUAAAUAAAGUUACCUUGGGGAUAACAGCGUAAUUUCUUUUUAGAGUUCUUAUCAAAUGAGAAGUUUGCGACCUCGAUGUUGGAUUAAAAUUUAUUUUAGGUGUAGAAGCUUAAAUUUUAAGUCUGUUCGA